UUAGUUCGUGGAUUAAUUUGUCUGGUUAAUUCCGAUAACGAACGAGACCUUGAUUGGCUAAUUAAAUUUCAAUAUAUUAAUAUUGAACUUUAUUAGCAGGACGGUGCGAACUCAACGCAAGGAAGUGUGAGGCAAUAACAGG
rnacentral:rRNA from 1 species